rnacentral:lncRNA from 1 species
UCAAUAUUAGAUUCAAUUGGGUUCAGUCAAAAUGUACAUGAACCAACUCACUGUUUAGACCACACUCUGGACCUUGUUCUGGGAUAUGGUGUGUCCACAUAAUCCUCUUUUAUCAGACCAUUUUUUAAUAACUUUUGAAGUCCUGUUACUGGACUACAAGCCAGUAGGCAAAAUAUCCUACGCUCGAUGUUUAUCUGAAAGUGCUGUGACUAAAUUUAAGGAAGUGAUUCCAUCAGCCCUUAAUUCAAUACCAGGACUCAAUAUCAAUAUAACAGAGGACUCCAAUGCUAACUUUAGUCCCUCCCAAAUUAAUCAUCUUGUUGAUAGCGCUGCAGCCUCACUGCGAAUAACACUCGACUCUGUCGCUCCUCUAAAGAAGAAGAUCAUAAAACAGAAAAAGAAAGCUCCAUGGCUUAAUUUACAAAUCCGCAAACUAAAACAAAAGUCGAGAAAUCUUGAAAGUAAAUGGCGUUCCACUAAAUUGGAAGAAUCUCGUUUAGUCUGGUUAGAUCAUCUUAAAACGUAUAAGAAGGCUCUCCGUAAUGCCAGAGCAGCUUAUUACUCUUCCUUAAUAGAAGAAAAUAAGAACAACCCCAGGUUUCUUUUCAGCACUGUAGCCAGGCUGACAGAGAGCCACAGCUCUACAGAGCCUUCUGUUCCUAUAUCUCUCAGUAGUGACGACUUUAUGAGUUUCUUUAACGAUAAAAUUAUAAUUAUUAGAGACAAAAUUAAUCUCCUCCUGACCUCAAUUGGUAAUGACUUAACUUCAACUGUUGGAAUUUUAAAAACAUCUGUAACUCCUGAAAUAUAUCUAGACUGUUUUACUCCAAUCAACCUUAACCAACUAACUUCAACAAUCUCAUCGUCUAAACCAUCAACCUGUCUUUUGGACCCGAUUCCAACUAAACUGUUUAAAGAAGUUUUACCCUUAAUUAACACUUCGUUAUUAAAUAUGAUCAACCUGUCUCUAUUAUCUGGCUACGUACCAAAAUCCUUUAAAGUAGCUG